rnacentral:rRNA from 1 species
GACGAACGCUGGCGGCGUGCCUAACACAUGCAAGUCGAACGGGACCGGGGGCAACUCUGGUUCAGUGGCGGACGGGUGCGUAACACGUGAGGAACAUGACCUUCGGCGGGGGAGUAGCCGGCCCAACCGGCCGGGUAAGUACCGCGUACGACCACAUGGGGACGAUCCCUGAGUGGUGAAAGCAGCAAUGCGCCGAUGGAGUGCCUCGCGGCCUAUCAGCUAGUUGGUGAGGUAACGGCNCACCAAGGCGACGACGGGUAGCUGGUCUGAGAGGAUGGCCAGCCACA